rnacentral:rRNA from 1 species
UGCCAGCCGCCGCGGUAAAACCAGCACCUCAAGUGGUCAGGACGAUUAUUAGGCCUAAAGCAUCCGUAGCCGGCUCUGUAAGUUUUCGGUUAAGUCUGUACGCUCAACGUACAGGCUGCCGGGAAUACUGCAGAGCUAGGGAGUGGGAGAGGUAGACGGUACUCGGUAGGAAGGGGUAAAAUCCUUUGAUCUAUUGAUGACCACCUGUGGCGAAGGCGGUCUACCAGAACACGUCCGACGGUGAGGGAUGAAAGCUGGGGGAGCAAACCGGAUUAGAUA